GUGCGUAUUGCUGUGUAUUUGUGUGUGUUGCUUCCCUCCCUUACUCUAAGUGCUUUCACUUUGAUCUUUGUUGUAAGGGCGAGAGACUCCAAGUUGUGGAGAUUCCUCGCAAACGGGAAGGAGUAUAAGAAAGAAAACAACCGUGGUAUUCAAGUGGAUCAUUGGAUCACUUGAAAGGGGUUGAGUGCAACCCUCGUCCAUUGGGACGCCACAACGUGGAGUAGGCAAGUGUUAUACUUGGCCGAACUACGGGAUAAAUCAUCGUGUCUCUUGUGCUUGAUUUCUUUGUGAUCAUUGGGUUUCACAAGAGCUCUGUCCUUAGCCACUUAAUUCCAUUGCGCUAACACUUAACCAAGUUUUUGUGGCUAUAAUUUUAAGUUUUUACAGGAUCACCUAUUCACCCCCCCCCCUCUAGGUGCUCUCAACGCCUACAUCAACCUCGCCACGACAAAGGCAUCUCGUCGUUCGUGGGAGACCCUCAAGGGGACAUUCCACGCGCUCCGAAGGGGUUUUAUAUAGGCACCAAGACCCGACUCGUCGGUCACAAGCUCCAUGGUGUUCGAGGUAGCAGCCAACGGCCUCCGUCAAGCUUUGUCUUCAGCUAUCGCUAAGGCAGAAUGGGCCACUCCUUACCCAUGGAAUCCGACGCGGAACGAAACCCAGGCUGUUUAGGUCAGCCCUGUAUCUCCUACUUACAAAGUAGCAUGAGAAUGAACUCUUCCUUUGUGUUAGAAUAUGCAUUUAUCUAUGGUCCGGUCCGGUUAGGCCCACCUAUGUAAACCCGGUCUCCGACACCUUCUGUGGUCCAGCCCGAUAGGGGCCACCCUUGUAAACCCGGC
rnacentral:lncRNA from 1 species